GUGGGAUUGGUUGUCUGGCGAGUGAGGCGCUGGGCUGUAGGCCCCGGGCGGGCCAGCGAGGCAGGGGAGUGAGGGACGCGGGAACAGGGUCUACUGUGUGUAAGCUUCGGUUGUUCUGCACAGGGAGCUGUGCAGAGCGCCAUGCGGUAGAGGCUGGGGGAAUGAGGACUUGGAGAUGCUUGAGGUAUGGUCUUUACCUACGUGAAAUGUUGGAGGUAAGCCUAAGUUUUCUUGGAUGUGAAAAUAGGGCGCUGGACUGCAAUGAUGCGAUGAUGAGUGAAGUAGAGUCUGACCUGGUAUUGCCUUUGCUUCAGUGUUGGCUUUGACCAGGGUUGAGGUGAAAAAUCUGGCUUUGAAAUCUUCGUGGAGGACCACAUCAUUUCAAUCCUGAAUCUGGUUCAGUUCUCUUAUUGACUUAUUACUGUAUUAAAAAUGCUUUGCUUAAUUAA